GGGCCGCUAGCUCAAUGGUAGAGCAAUUCCCUCUUAAGGAAGAGGUUGGAGGUUCGAAUCCUCCGCGGCUCA
rfam:Candidatus Woesebacteria bacterium RIFCSPHIGHO2_12_FTLL_42_9 rifcsphigho2_12_scaffold_1909, whole genome shotgun sequence.